UACGUAGGAGACGAGCGUUGUCCGGAGUUACUGGGCGUAAAGGGUGCGCAGGUGGCGGCGCGCGUGGGGGGGUGAAAUCGCCCGGCUUAACUGGGCGGGGGCCUUCCAGACGGCGUGGCUUGAGCAGCGGAGGGGGACGUGGAAUUCCGGGUGGAGCGGUGAAAUGCGUAGAGAUCCGGAGGAACACCGGUGGCGAAGGCGGUGAGCUGGGCAGUUGCUGACACUGAGGCGCGACAGCGUGGGGAGCGAACAGG
rnacentral:rRNA from 1 species